GGAACACGGUGAAAUUCCGUGACGGUCCCGCCGCUGUGAUCGGGGAUGGGGAUUUGCCCUGAGCGAAGGCUCGGUCACUUUCGGGGUCCACCUCGAAGGGAAGGCCGCGAAUCCCCAGUUGAUCCGAGAGUCAGAAGAC
rnacentral:ncRNA from 2 species